rnacentral:rRNA from 1 species
GACGAACGCUGGCGGCGUGCUUAAUACAUGCAAGUCGAACGGAAAGGCCCUGCUCUUGCGGGUUGCUCGAGUGGCGAACGGGUGAGUAACACGUGAGUAACCUGCACUUGACUUUGGGAUAUCUUUAGGAAACUGGGGCUAUUACAGGAUAGGAGCUAUUGAUGCACGGGGGGGGUUGGAAAGUUUCGGCGGUUGGGGAUAGAAUCGCGGCUUAUGAGCUUGUUGGUGGGGUAGGUGCUGACCAAGGCUUUGAAGGGUAGCCCGCCUGGGAGGGUAACCAGCCACAAUGGGACUGAGAGACGGCGCAGACUGGUACGGGACGCAGCAGGGGGAAACAUGACACAACAAGGGGAAGCCAGAGACAGCGACGCCGCGAGCGUGAUGACGGCCUACGGGGGAUAAACCACUGUCGCAUGUGACGAAGCGGGAUUGACGGUAAUGAGUAAAAAAGCACCGGCUAACUACGUG